UCUUUUCUUUUUCUUUUCUUUUCUCUCUUCUCCUUCCUCCCCGUGCGCCCUUCCCCUUCUCUCCGUUCGCAGCUCAGCAACCGCCGCCGCAGCCCAGCAACCGCCACCCCGAGACUUCUCUUCUUUCGUUUCUCUUUCUCUUUCUCUUUUCUUCUUCCGCCCAGCGCCGCGACCGACCCCCAUCCGUUCGCAGCAACCGCCGACCUCCAUUCCUCUUCUCCUUCCGUUCGCAGCAAGCCGCCGACCAUCUUCCGCCGGCCAUCUCCUUCUUCUCUUCUCCUCUCCGCUCCGUCCAAACCCAGCCUCACCGCCGCGUCUCCCCUACUGAAGCCGAACGCCCGAUCUGCCGUCUCCAUCUCCGGUUCACAAAGCAACCUUGCAGCAGUCGUCCCGCGCGCCGAUCUGCCGUCUCCAUCUCCGGUUCGCGAAGCAACCUUGCAGCAGUCGUCCCGCGCGCCGAUCUGCCGUCUCCAUCGCCGGUUCUGUCUCCGUCGAAGCCACGGUUCUGCAACCGUCUCCGCCGGUUCUGUCUCCGUCGACCACGCUCCUCGCUCACAACCGCCGCUCCACCUGCUAUCAACGUCGGCCGACUAGUUGCUGUAACCGUUCAGAUUUACUGUAACCGUUCAGAUUUGUUGUAACCGUUCAGAUUCGCGGUCUGUUCGCGCGACGGUCUCCAUCCGUGAAGCUCAGCCGCCACGUUCCCUUUGGCCGAUCGCUGACCGACCCACACUUAGGAUUUUUGCUGCGAGUUCGACAUUCGUGCGUUGAGGUGUUGGGAGUAACGUUAGGCUCCCUUACAUUCAAAACCUGUUUGUGAAUUGUUGAAGGUUCAGUUCGCCAAUAUAUCGGUGAGUUGGAACUUACGUUGAGGAAAGUAAGUGACAUAUGUAUCGUGAUGCUUAGGAUUGUUUCGAGGACGUUAGUUGAUUAAGGAGCUUCCCUAACUUUGAGGCAAAGGUAAUAAAAGCGGCAAACCGGCGAGGGGCAGGAAGGAAGCGUGACUGCCAUAGGAAAUAUGUUGUUUGCUUCCGCUUAUGGGUUCUUGUGAGGUUUAAGAUGAAUUGAAAGUUUGCUUACAAACGUUUAUUGUAAAUAGUAUUGUUUUUAUGUUUUCUUAAAUGUUUGAAAUUCAGGCCUGACUUAAAGAUGUUUUUAAAUUAGCUUACGUUUUGUUUUA